rnacentral:rRNA from 1 species
GUUGACCUCGGAUCAGGUAGGGAUACCCGCUUGAA